rnacentral:rRNA from 1 species
GACGAACGCUGGCGGCGUGCUUAACACAUGCAAGUCGAACGGAAAGGCUCCAGCUUGCUGGAGUACUCGAGUGGCGAACGGGUGAGUAACACGUGGGUGAUCUGCCCUGCACUUCGGGAUAAGCCUGGGAAACUGGGUCUAAUACCGGAUAGGACCGCACUUUGGUGUGUGUGGUGGAAAGGUUUUUCUGGUGUGGGAUGAGCUCGCGGCCUAUCAGUUUGUUGGUGGGGUAAUGGCCUACCAAGACGGCGACGGGUAGCCGGCCUGAGAGGGUGGACGGUCACAUUGGGACUGAGAUACGGCCCAGACUCCUACGGGGGGCAGCAGUGGGGAAUAUUGCACAAUGGGGGAAACCCUGAUGCAGCGACGCCGCGGGGGGGAUGAAGGCCUUCGGGUUGUAAACUCCUUUCGCUAGGGACGAAGCUUUUUGUGACGGUACCUGGAGAAGAAGCACCGGCUAACUACGUG